AGGGGGUUAGCGUUGUUCGGAAUUACUGGGCGUAAAGCGCGCGUAGGCGGAUUAGUCAGUUAGAGGUGAAAUACCCAGGGCUCAACCCUGGAACUGCCUUUAAUACUGCUAGUCUUGAGUUCGAGAGAGGUGAGUGGAAUUCCGAGUGUAGAGGUGAAAUUCGUAGAUAUUCGGAGGAACGACCAGUGGCGAAGGCGGCUCACUGGCUCGAUACUGACGCUGAGGUGCGAAAGUGUGGGGAGCAAACAGGAUUAGAUACCCCUGGUAG
rnacentral:rRNA from 1 species